AACGAACGCUGGCGGCAUGCCUAACACAUGCAAGUCGAACGAGACCUUCGGGUCUAGUGGCGCACGGGUGCGUAACGCGUGGGAACCUGCCCUUAGGUUCGGAAUAACUCCCCGAAAGGGGUGCUAAUACCGGAUAAUGUCUUCGGACCAAAGAUUUAUCGCCUUUGGAUGGGCCCGCGUUGGAUUAGCUAGUUGGUAGGGUAAAAGCCUACCAAGGCGACGAUCCAUAGCUGGUCUGAGAGGAUGAUCAGCCACACUGGGACUGAGACACGGCCCAGACUCCUACGGGAGACAGCAGUGGGGAAUAUUGGACAAUGGGCGAAAGCCUGAUCCAGCAAUGCCGCGUGAGUGAUGAAGGCCUUAGGGUUGUAAAGCUCUUUUACCCGGGAUGAUAAUGACAGUACCGGGAGAAUAAGCGCCGGCUAACUCCGUG
rnacentral:rRNA from 1 species